rnacentral:sRNA from 1 species
CUACCCCAGCCCCCUCCUCUGAAGAGGAGGGGGCUUUUCUGCCUUUACUCCCCCUCCUCUUCAGAGGAGGGGGUCGGGGGGUGG